rnacentral:tRNA from 3 species
GAACGUGAAAUAGAUGUUUUCCUAUGUCUGGUUGCGGUCCAGGAAGAUUUCGUUUA